UACGAAGGGGGCUAGCGUUGCUCGGAAUCACUGGGCGUAAAGCGCACGUAGGCGGAUCUUUAAGUCAGGGGUGAAAUCCUGGAGCUCAACUCCAGAACUGCCUUUGAUACUGGGGAUCUCGAGUCCGGGAGAGGUGAGUGGAACUCCGAGUGUAGAGGUGGAAUUCGUAGAUAUUAGGAAGAACACCAGUGGCGAAGGCGGCUCACUGGUCCGGUACUGACGCUGAGGUGCGAAAGCGUGGGGAGCAAACAGG
rnacentral:rRNA from 1 species